rnacentral:rRNA from 1 species
CAGAGAUUUCCGAAUGGGGGAACCCAACAUCUUUAAUAGGAUGUUACGAUUGUGUGAAUACAUAGCACAUUCGAGGUAGACGCAGAGAACUGAAACAUCUAAGUACCUGCAGGAAGAGAAAGAAAAUUCGAUUCCCUGAGUAGCGGCGAGCGAAACGGGAAAAGCCCAAACCAGCAAGCUUGCUUGUUGGGGUUGUAGGACUCCAAUAUGGUAGUUCUUUCAGAUAGUCGAAUGACUUGGAAAAGUCAGUCAAAGAGGGUAAAAACCCCGUAGACGAAAUGUGGAAGACACCUAGGAGGAUCCUGAGUACGGCGGAACACGAGAAAUUCCGUCGGAAUCCGGGAGGACCAUCUCCCAAGGCUAAAUACUCCCUAGUGACCGAUAGUGAACCAGUACCGUGAGGGAAAGGUGAAAAGCACCCCGGAAGGGGAGUGAAAUAGAACCUGAAACCGUGUGCCUACAACAAGUCAAAGCCCGUUAAUGGGUGAUGGCGUGCCUUUUGUAGAAUGAACCGGCGAGUUACGAUUGCAUGCGAGGUUAAGUUGAAGAGACGGAGCCGCAGCGAAAGCGAGUCUGAAUAGGGCGUUUGAGUAUGUAGUCGUAGACCCGAAACCAUGUGAUCUACCCAUGUCCAGGUUGAAGGUGCGGUAAAACGCACUGGAGGACCGAACCCACGUACGUUGAAAAGUGCGGGGAUGAGGUGUGGGUAGCGGAGAAAUUCCAAACGAACUUGGAGAUAGCUGGUUCUCUCCGAAAUAGCUUUAGGGCUAGCCUCGGAAUUGAGAAUGAUGGAGGUAGAGCACUGUUUGGACUAGGGGCCCAUCUCGGGUUACCGAAUUCAGAUAAACUCCGAAUGCCAUUCAUUCAUAUCCGGGAGUCAGACUGUGAGUGAUAAGAUCCAUAGUCGAAAGGGAAACAGCCCAGACCACCAGCUAAGGUCCCAAAAUAUAUGUUAAGUGGAAAAGGAUGUGGGGUUGCACAGACAACUAGG